CAAGGGAAGUCUAAACUAGAGUUGGGGGUGCUCCGGCAAGAUGUCUGUAACUGCCUGGUACUGGGCUAUUCAGAGCUGCCCGGAGUUUGUUACGAAGAGUAAUGGCGUCAGGAGUCGUUCAAGGCCAUGUGAAGUUUGUUAUAGAGAGUAGAGUGGUGUCCGUUGUCGCGACUUGCCAGAGAGUAGUGGAGCCAUACGGAAUCUGUUGUAGAGAGUGGAGCAGGGUAGUGGCCAUUGUCGUGACUUGUCAGAGAGUUCGGAUCUGUCGGCUGGAGCUCGACUAGGACAUCUGAUGGACCGAAAUGGCUCUCCAUCCCAUCGAUCUGGGAGAAGCUCAGAUGUCUCCGAAGCUGCUAACAAGUCUACUAUUGUCGGAUACCUUAGGCACUGAUACUACAGGUGGGAGUCAUCUGCUAUAGAAGCUCGGAUGGAGACUUUCCGUUGGUGAAGUCUGGUAGGAGUUCGAUUGCUAGAUAAGUCCAUCUGAGAUUCGCCUGAUGUGGAAGCUCGUCUGAAGAUGAUCCAUCGGAGAAGUUCGAUUUCAUGAAAGAUCUGGCAGAGGGUCGACCGACGUGGACUUCAGAUGGCACUGGGGAGGUUCGGCAGACGUCGGAGGUGAUCGAUCGUUGUAAGAAUCCAGCUGUCGUAGUCCGUUCAUCGUAGAAGCUCGUCCGAUAUCUAUCCGCUAUGAAAGUUCGAUCGAGGUCUGAUUCUUGCAGAAGGCUGAAAGGAGAUCGCUUAUUGUAGAAGCUCGAUCGAAGAUCGGUUGUUGUGGGAGCUCGAAGUAGCGAUCUGGCCGGUGGAUCCUGUACCGCUGUAGAAGCUCGUCUGGGAUCCAGCUACGAAGAUCGGCUGAAGUCUACCUGUAAUUGAAGUUCAGAAGAGACGUGUUUACAGUAGGAGCUCGAAUGGAAUUUGCUUACAGUAGAGAUCCGGAGUAGACCGCCCGCUGUAGGAGUUCGGAGUAGACCGCUCAUAGUAGAAGUUUCGAGCAGACCGCUCGCUGUUGGAGUUUGGAGUAGAUCGCUUGUAGUAGAAGUUCGACUCUCACAGGAGACCGAUUAGAAUCUUGAAGGCGAUCGACCACCGUAGAAACUCGGAUGGAGUCUGAUUACUAUAGAAACCUCAUUGUCGAAGAAGCUCGGAUAUUGACGAAGUCCGGAAGGAGUUCGAAGAAUAGUUGAUCAUCGUAGAAGGUCGACUGACAGUGAGGCCUAGAGAGCCUUUGGAGCGGCACGGUAGAUGGAUGGAGAAGCUCAUUGUCGGAGAAGUCCGGAAGCUCAGACGGUCGGGGCGGGUUCAGAGAGACGCCACACAAGGUCGGAAGCUGGAGAAGCCCUAGAAGGGUCGGUCUUUUAUAAACUUCGACCGGGGGAUAUUUUAUAUCCAACACAUCUUAUGUAAUUAAUCUCAAAAAAUUUUGUUAUGCAUGCAUAUAUUUCUGACCUAC
rnacentral:lncRNA from 1 species